rnacentral:rRNA from 1 species
GUCGAGAAUCUUUCACAAUGGGGGCAACCCUGAUGGAGCGACGCCGCGUGGAGGAUAAGGUCUUCGGAUUGUAAACUCCUGUCAUGCGUGAACAAGGUUGCUUGGUUAAUACCUGGGCAAAUUGAUGGUAACGCAAGAGGAAGAGACGGCUAACUCUGUGCCAGCAGCCGCGGUAAUACAGAGGUCUCAAGCGUUGUUCGGAAUCACUGGGCGUAAAGGGUGCGUAGGUGGCGUGGUAAGUCAGAUGUGAAAGCCCGGGGCUCAACCUCGGAACUACAUCCGAUACUGCCAUGCUAGAGUACUGGAGAGGUGACUAGAAUUCUCGGUGUAGCAGUGAAAUGCGUAGAUCUCGAGAGGAAUACCAAAGGCGUAGGCAGGUCACUGGACAGUUACUGACACUGAGGCACGAAGGCCAGGGGAGCGAACGGGAUUAGAAACCCGAGUAGUCC